GGAAGUACCUAUAGGAACAAAUUAACCAAUGAAUCACCUUCCAAAUGACCAUUCCUAUGAUGAAGUUUUUGAACACAUGGUUUCAUUUAUAAGGUUUUAACCAUUUCAUUUGAAAAUCAAUGAUAUCAUACACCAUAAGUCUAUCCUAAAAGAUGACAUUUAGUAACCAGUCGUCUAGUUUAAGAGAGGCCUAAUAUGACACUUUAGUUACUUGAACUCAUGACUUUUACUCUAGUACCAAUUUUUGGAUUGGGUUUUAACUAUCUCAUCUGAAAACCAAUUAAUAUUCAAUAAGAGUAGGUCAAACAUUUUAUGAAAUUUGAUAUCUUAUUUGAAAAUCAAUUAGUAUUCAAACAUUUUAUGACAUUCAAUAUUAGACUUUGCAAACCUGUUUUAAAAAAUAAUAUUUGGCGACCUAUCCCAAAACUUAAGAGCGACCCAAGAUGAAACUCCAAUGACUUGAACCCAUGAUCCUAACUCUAUUAUCGAAUUUUUGAUCAAACUUUCACCAUCUCAUCUAAAAACCGUAUCCAAUGAGGGUAAAUCAAACAUUUUAUGAAAUUCGAUAUCACACCUUCUAAACUUGUUCUAAUAACUAUCAUUUGGAUUACCUGUCCUCGAAUUUAAGAGCAUCAUUAUUACACCUUGAUAAUGUUACUGUAACUACCUUUUGAGAGUAGACUUCAGAUCGGCUUCCUCCUUGUAGUUGAAUGCAUCAUCAAAACCGAGCUUCCCUUUUAGCAACUCAACCUAUAAUUCAAUUUUUUGACAGAAUUGUAUAAGAAUAUGGUUUGAUAUAUAGUGAAGGAGAAGUGGAAGAAGCUAGCCUUUUGUUUUGUUCCAGCACAGCCCACAACAUGGCAGCCGAAGAGCUUGGCAUAUUGUCCCACCAAAUUUCCAACUGAUCCACAAGCAGCUGAUACAAAUACUUUCUCCCCCUUCUUAGGUUUACAUACUUCGAAGAAACCGCCAUACGCUGUUAGCCCACUAAGCCCUGCAAUCAACACUAGUUUUCAAUUCCACUUGAAAAUACGAAGGAUAAGAAUAAUAAUUGGGGUUGUAAGUUGUCUAAAUCAUAUCGGAUUUGUGACUAACUCAAGUUUAAUUUGAAUUGAACCCGAUCUCUAAUGAAAGGUACUUAAUCAAGUUAACUUCACGUCAAAUUUGAACUAAACUCAAUUGACUGCUUGAGUUAAGACUCAAAUUUAUUGUAUUAAUCAAAUUAGUCUAUAAUUUUUUUUAAAUUAUUGAAUUUUCAUAGUCGUCUUCGAAUUUGGCUGAAUUGAAACUCUUAAUAAUGAUUUUUUUUAACAAGAAAAUGAGAUAGUGUUUUAUAUAUAUAAUUAAAUUAAUUUAAUAUUUUUUAAAAUUAACUAAAAAGGCACAUAUAAAAUGAAUAUUGCUAUAUAUUAUAAUAAGUAUUUUUAAAAAGUAUUAAAUUAGACUCAGGCUAAGUUGAAAUUACCUAAAUUCUUGACCCAAUUGAACCCGAAUAUUUAAAAUGAUGGUCCAAACUAUAAGAAAUUGGAUUUGCAAUAAGCUUUCUUUUCAUUAUUCUAUAUCUUUCUGCACUAUUACAACCUAUUUAUAUAUUUUUUGAAGAGAAGAUAAUUAAGUAACAAUUUACAAGUAUGUUAGUUAAGCUAUAACAAAAUAACAAACUGGACUAUUAUCUAAUACAGAUGAGGAGUAUUCUGGUGCAGUUUGGUAAUUAGUUUUGAGACUGCUACGAGGUUCAUCACAAACCAUUCAAACUCUUUGCCUAAGAAUGAUGUGAUGAGAGAUUUUGCAAGAAUAGAGGAGCAAACAUACCGAGAACUCCAAGGUGGUAAGAGAGAGGAAAUCCCAUGGGAUCCAACUUCCUGAAGGUGUUACCUCCUUUGACGAUGGUAUACUCUUCCCAAUUGAUAAGCCCCACAACUAAAUCAUCCUUCUCAAACUCAGGGUUUCCAGAAGCCAUAACUCUCCCAAUACCAUUAGCACUAAUGGCCUGCACAUUUUUAUUAGUUGCCUCUUAGACUAUGCUAGCCAAUUGAAGAACAUCAAACAGGAACUGCACAAUGUUGGAAUGUUUGGAGACUUCAAGCAUCAAAUUAUGUAAAGGUCUACCCGUUUUUUCAAGGUGAGAGCGUGUUUCGAUUUAGUUCCUAAAACUUUUUUAAGCAUAGAUAUAUUUUGGUAGAAAAAAAAAAAAAAACUAAGGAUAUGUUUAAGACUAUUUUUUAGAACAAUUUUCUAUUAUUUAAAACAAAAAAACAACAAAAAACAAGAAAAACAUGUUAAACGACCAAAAAUUGCUUUCUAUUUUUUUUCUUAAGAAUAUAUAAUAUGGUGUUAAUUAAUAGAGAAUAUUUUUUAACUGUUUUUAUUUCAUUUCACUUAUUCCGUGAGAGUUAUUUUAAAAAAUAAUUAUACAAAAAAUAAAAUGAUUAAAAAUAAAAUAUAAUAUAUAAAUUUUAUUUUUAAAAUAUUAAAAACAUUUCAGGUUUCAAACAAAUUUUUAUUUUAUAAAAUAUCAUAAAACAGUUUUUUAAAACACAAAACAAACCCUAAUGUUACAAGCAUAUACAUGUUUAGAAGUUUUCCAUUUUUUACUAAAAUUCUUAUUCUAAUGACUUAUUUGAUACUUAAGCAUAAUUGAGGAUUAAUAUUGUUUGAAAUAUUAUUUGAAAGUAAAUUGAGCCGCAAGUCAAAGUUCAUCAAAAAUUCAUUUUUGUAGUUUAUUUUUAAAAAAAAUUAAGAUGAUUUUACCUAUAAAGUGAUAUCCAAACUCUUCUACAUCAUAGAAAAAUAAAAGUUUGUCUUCUUUGCCUUUAUACUAAAAUAGUAUGAAAUGUUCAAAGAAUAAAAUCAUAGACUAUUUUAGUCUAACCUUGAUCUGAAAUAAUUAGUCAACCAUGUGAAACCAAAUCCCAAAGAAAAAUCUAAAAAAGAUUUACACCCUGACGAGCUCACCUGGCCAGGAGUUAUGCCAUCUGCAGUACUAACAAGUUUCUGCGAAGAGCAAACUCUCUUCAUUCGAUUGAUCUGGUACGGAUCGAUGGAAACAUAGAGAUUUUUCACUAUCACAUCUUUCGAACCCGGCUCCACAGAUAGAUGUAAAGCCGCAGUCUUGAGCUCAAAGUCGGAUUCCUGAGGUGAUGAUCCAUCAAUGUGGGUCUUAACUGUUACAUAUUUGUUGGUGACCUCCAUUGUUGUCUAGCCUUUCAGAUUUGUUAGACAGAAGCUCGCUCAUUCGAUGAGAGAAGCGUAGGGCAGAAUGAUUGAGACUGAUGAAGUGUCCUUGUAUGUUUGGAUAUUUUGAAUGUAAGACCAUUUUAGAUCUCUGUGUGGUCCAUAUAUUUUCUGUGGUCAUCAUGUCCUUAGUAAGGCGGGCCAAAAUGGGUAGUCUGAAUAAGUAUUAUUUUCAUUAAAAAAUGAAGAAACAUUUAUAUAAUGAAAAUUAUGAAAAAGUAUUAUUUUUUUUAAAUUAUUUGAAAAAGAAAAAAUACAAUUCUUAAUCUCUAACAACGUCUUGUAAGCAUAUAUUUCAUGUAUAUUACCAAAAAGUCAUCAUUGUCAUUGAACAAGUUUUACUUAUAAUUUGAGAAGUUUUCUAUGCCCUAUCAAUAAAAUUCGACCCUAACACAAUUUUUAUAAAUUUAAAUUAAGUACUGACUUAUAUGAUCUGUUUAAUAAACACGUUAGUUUUCAAUCUACUUACAUUUCCUUAAUUAACUAGUUUAAAUAAUUGUAUUGGUUAACCUAAAUCUAACUUAUAACAUAUUUAACCUACAUUUGAUCUAUUUUAAAUUUAAUUUUAAAUAAAUAAGUUAAUUGAGUCAUGAACAUAUUACAUCGAGAGGUAAUUCAUAUUGAUUCAAACGAGAGCAAACUUGACUUGAUUAUUAAAUAAAUAUAUGAAUAUAUAUUUUCAAUAAUUAGGUCAUAUUUUAAUACUUCUUUUAACUAAAUUAUAAAUCUUAUUGUAUUUAAAUGAAGUUAUUUAAUUGAGUACGUGAAUUUUCACCUCUAUCUUAAAAGUCUUGUUACUUGAUAAGACCUUUUUUACCAUCCAUAAUCCGAUAAGAUCAUUAUACUUCAUGAUUGGAAUAGGGUAAAUUAACAUUUGUCUAUUCUUAUCCAAUCCCUAAUUGGUAGGUGUUGAUGAAUGACCUAAUAUAAUUAAGAGUUCAUUUGACAGUAAUUUAAGUAAAACGUUUUUAGCUUAAAAAGUGUUUUUGAAAAAAAAUUAGAUAUUUGACAAAUUUUAAGAAAUACUUUCAAAAAUCUGAAAAAUCAUUUAUAGUAUUGAAAAAUUAUUUGUAAUAUUUUCUAGAGAAACAUUUCAUAAAUGAUUUUUCUAAAAACGUUUUUAAAGAAAACACUUUGAAUAAAAACACUAUCAAAUACUUUGAAUGAAAACCUCAAUCCAAUUGAUGAAAGUUUCUCUCAACUUUCUAAAAGUUGGAUCAAUCUUGAAAUAGAGCAUUAAAAAUACUUAGCUAAAAACAAGUUGCCCAAGACUUCCAAAAAUUCUUUAAAAACUUUAUCAAGAUAAUCCUUAUUUUGAAAAUUUCAUAUUGAUUAAAUUUCAUCUCUUUGGCCAUCACCUCAACUACAUACCUUAGUCUCUUAAACAUUUUCAACACAUCGUACUUCAUUAUACGAGUAAUCCAAAAGAGGAUUCGAAAGACCCGAGCUAAAUGUACAUUUGGGAAUUUUUGACCUUGAAUUACCAACAUAUGUGAAACACUCACAACAACAAUCAAAUUUUAGUUUAAGAUUUGAAAAUCAAUUUUUAAAAAUUUCAAUCACAACAAAUAAAAUAAAAUAAAAUAAAAUAAAUAAACCAACUACACCAUAUAGUCCUAAUGCUACUACUCAAAAUUCUUAUUGAAGAGGAAUCGAUAUCCUUAAUAUUCAUCCAUCUGCAAUUUUCACCAUUUUCUUUCAUAGAUAGGUAGAGUCCGAUCCGGGUCACCAUCUAAGCCAGGAUAGUUAUCAAACCAUCAUUGAAUUGACAAACCAGUAGUUGAACCGUUGACUUGAUGAACUAGUUUGCUGGUUCUACCUUGAAUCCCCUUCAAUUUUUGUCAAAACGGGCCCAGCUUAAUGGGCCUCAGUCUUAGAAGCCCAACUAUCUGUUGGACCUCAUGCUUCUUGCAAUGUUUGCAAUUCCACUGGGCUACUUUUUAACUUGUAUUUAGUAUUGCAAACCAAAAAAUAAUACAACAUAAUUCUUUUCAAAAUAUUUAUAAUAAUGAAAGUGUAAAUAAUAUAAUUUUUUUAAAUAAUAAAAUAAUAGCCAUAUAAAUUUUAAUAUGUAGGUAAAAUUAAUUAAAUUUUAAUAAAUAUCUUCACAUAUAUUAUAUAUCUUUUAUUUAAUAAAAUGUUAAAAUAUUAAUAUAUGUAUAUAUUUAUUUGAUAAUAUUAAAAAAUGAAAAACUAAAUAUUAUUUAUUUUUAUUUUCUUUAUAUUAUAUACUUAAAUUUUUUAUAAGUAAUUUUAAUUUUAAUAAUACAUAAAUUAUAUAUUUAUAACCUUACUAGUUGGACCGUGGUUGAUUGUUAUGACAAUUGAACUAUGAAAUGACAACUUUUUGGAUUUAAUAAUGACUAGUUGGUUUUGAAAAUAUUGGUCAUUCUAUAUAAAGGAUAAAACAUGACCAAUAAAUUUUUUAAAAAAAAAUUGAUUGAUUUUUCUUACUUUCCUAAUCUUCACUCUAUUUCUUUUUCUGUUGCUUUCUUGCAUAUAUUUGGAAAAAACUUGCAUAAUUUUACCUACACUAGUCACUAUACUUGGAACAUAAACAAUCCUAGAUCAUGAAUCAUAUGUUAAUUAAUGUUGCUCUUGUUUUUUUGCUAACUAACAAAUCAAAUAAUACAAUUAAUCCAAAAAAAUUUCUUAUGACUAUGUUUGGUUCCAUAAAUUUUGAGAAAAAAUAUAAGAAAGAAAAACAUACAAGAAAAAUGAAAAAUACUUGUUUCAAGUUAAAAUCAAACCUUUUCUAAUCUACACAUUCCACCUAAAUGGACCGUUUUUUUCGCCACUUAUGGUGGAAUCUUAUGUACAAGCUUGAGCUAGUUUGGUUUAAGAAUUGAUUGUUAAUUGCAUAAUCAAAAAACAGAAUAAAAGGAGUAGAAGUGAAGGAAAAUUCUCAAUUUGGUAUGGUUUUCACAAAGCCAAAAUUUAAUGGUAGUUGGGGAGUAAGCAUUAGGUACCAUGCAAUUAAUCAAGAUUCUAUGAAGCACACUAUUUGAGGAAUUAGAGUGGUGACAUAAUGUUUUUCUUGUAGAGCAUACAUCACCAAUUUGGAUAAGCAUACAAAAUUGAAAAUGAGCUGCAAAUUGGAAAGUUAUUUGGGUAAAUUUCAAAUUGGUUGAGAUUAAAAAUUACAUCCAUGAAUCAUCCCAUUCAAAUACUUAAAUGGUAUCCCAUACCAUAGUGAUGACCAACCAUACCAUUUUUGAAGAAUUUUGUUGAGUGAAUUAUUUUUUAAUAUUUUCAUUAUUUAGAAAAAAUAAAAACCAAACACUUUUUAUGUACAUCUUGUCCUUCAAUGAUGAAAUUACAUAAGUGAGAAUAGCCAUUGAUGAAAUGAUUUAUUGACUCACAAUUUGUGGAGUCAUCAUUUUAUGGACUGAAUCCUUUUGGUUUGCAAACCAGUGGUUUAUUUUUUGAAAAUUCUUUUUUAUUGAUUAUUUUAUUUAAAAUUAUUUCUUAUUUUAUUUAUUCAUUUAUUCUAAAAAAAUAGAAAAAUAAAGUUCAUAAAAUAAUAAUGGAUUCCAAGAUGGGAUUUACUUAGUGGGAAGGUGUUAGAGACAUCAAUAAAUCCGAAAAUAUUUGAAAAUGAUAGAGUUGUAUUUGACUUUUGGAAAAUUAGAACAUUUUUAGUCUUUUUAACAUUUGAAUCAUAAAAAUUUUUAAAUGUUAAAAAAUUUAAAAAUACUUCUUAAAAUUACUGUUAAAUGAGUUUUUAGUAUAUAUGAUGUUUCCUAAAGACUCAAUACUAAAACAAAAAUAAAAUAAAUAGAAUGCCUAUGUGGAAGUAAUAGCCCAAUAAAAAAUGUUUGUUUCUAAUUUCCUCCUAACCAUCCAUGUAGCUCUAAUUUAUUUUUAUAGAAAGAACAACGCUUUUAUUCCCACUAUGAGAUGUGAACACAUUUCAAGCUUAUAGAAAAAGUAAAAAUAGUGGGAAAAAAAAAAGGAAUAAAUAUGGCUUUCUAUUUGAAAGUGAAAAAUGUUGAACGCAUCACAAUGUGAUUUUUUUUGUUUCCUUAUUUUUAGGAUUUAUUUUUUAGACAAUAAUAAUAAUAUAAAUGGGUUUUGGUAGCUGAGCAACCUUCCAUGAUUAAGCCUUUAUUCCUCUCCGUGAUGACCCAAACCUCGGGGUGCUCAGUGUCCUGCAAUAACCAAAGUUAUAAAAAUAGUUAAUACUUCAUUCAGAUAUACUUUUUGUUUUUUGUUUUUAAAAUAGAAAAUUUUAUAUAAGAAGUAAAAAACUUUUAUGCAAAAAAGUUUUGACUUACCUUAUCUAUUCUUGAAAAUUACUUUCAAAAUUUUAAAAUUUGAGAUAGUAAAAUUUUUUAAUACCUCAAUAUUUUUUAUUCAGCUUUUAAAAACUACUAAAUUUUCACUAUAAACCUCCAAAAGUUUUUAUAUUAAAAGUUACUACUAUUUUUUGUUUAAAAAAAAUAGAAAAUAGGAACUACAUCCAAAUAGACACUAAAUUAAAUAAUUUUAUGCCUUCAAUAUUAAAUAAAAGAAAAAUAUACACUUUAUCAAAUCAUUCAAUUAAGACAUGAAAACAUAAGUAAAGAAGGUUCAAAAUUUUAUAAAAACAUUUAAAAAAUUUAAAGGAAUUAGAAAAAGAAUUAGAAAAACAACAAGAAUUUUCUUUGGAAAAUUUCAAGAAUUUCCAUAAAUUUUAUAGAAAAAAAUCUUGAAUUUCCUCAAACAAUUAAAUAAUUCUUUUAAUAUUUUUCUUCAAAUAACUAAUAUAAAUAAAUUAAGAGUGAUGAAUUUUUUUUUGGAAGAAUAAUCUACAACAUGGUAAUUAAGUGUCAUUGUAGAUUCACUUUUAUUUAAUUAAAUAUCAAAUCCAAAAUGUUUAAACAUCUAAAAAUUGAUGAGAAACCAUCAUUUGAAAAAAAAUAUUUAAUAGAACAUCAAACACAAAUUUGUUUUUUGUUUUUAAAAUAGAAAUUUUUAUAUAAGAAUGAGGAUCCCAAACAACAAUGGUAAUGAUGAGUGAUGAGUUAUUAUAUUUAGAACUCCCAUGGAGUCCAACUUCUUCAACAUGUUACCUCCUUUUAUUGAACCAUACUCUUCCCGAUGAUCAAGUCAUCUUUUCUCCAACAGAAAAGACAAUUCUCGAAAUACCAAGAGCAUAUCAAUGGCUUUACAAGUCCAUAUAAGUUUGUUCAACUACCAAUUUCCCUAAAAGUUUGAACUCACAAGAUUUGAACUUAGCACCUUUUGAGAUAUUGAAAAACACAAUAUGAUAAAAGUUGUAAGUUGUGUUCGAGAGAAAGUUAUUGUCUAUUGUUAGACUCUAUGGUAGAAUCAAGGGGCCUAAGAAGUGGUGGUUUACCCUAUGGUAAAUGUUUCCAACUCAUGAACUUAGUUGAUAUGAAGUUAUAUGAUAAUACCCAAUUUUUCUAAUUCAACUGUUUGAUCUAUGAUUUAUCAUUUAUGGACGUUGAUAAAAUCCUUUCAUUUAGCAAUACCUUAGGACGAUAUAACCUUAAAUUAAAGUUAGGCAAGGUUUAAACGAGGUGUAGUAAGCAACAAAAUGGUUCAGGGAGUUGAAAAUAAGUAUAGAGACAAAGACAAACAAGAAGGGGAUUGAAAUACCUUCCAUCAAAUCAAGUUUUGAUACCAUAUUGAAUUACUAAUUUUCCUAAAAGUUUACACUAACUAGAUUUGAGCUUAUAUAUACAUAUCAUGCUCCUUAACAAAAUUAACUUCAAUAUUGUAGACCAUCAAGAAAACCUAUAUAAAAACCAUGAAAAUAGUUGUCUUCAACACAUAAGCUAGAUGGAGUCACCUCAUCAAGAAUAGUGCCAUCUUCAUAUAGUGAAAGAAGAAGAUUGAGAAAUUAUAGUAUACCCUUAUGAAGGAUGGAUAUUUAUAUACAAAUAAUUUGAGUAUAUUUUUUUAUACUAAUUCAAACUCUAUCAUUUAUUCUAAUUUAAAACUGUUUGAGUUUAUCUUCUGCUUUAAUUCAAACUCUAUCUUCUACUAUAAUUUAAACUAAUAAUAGAUAAAUAUUAAUAUUUAAAUUAAGAAUAAACAUUAACUUUUUCUAACAUGCCCCCUAAAGGUGGAAUUUCGAUUGGAGAUUCCAAUCUUAGUCUUGAGAGAAAAAAAAAAAAAACCAACUACAAUGUAAUGGUUUUGGCAAAGCAUCCAUUAGUUAAUCUUUUAACGACACAUGAACAACACAAAGAGCACCAUUUUGAACCUAAUCGUAAAGGAAAUAGUGGUUUUGCAAGAAAGUGAAUCAAAGGGUCAAACAAUGAGCUAAAACAAUUGAAGGGUGAGAAAUUGAAUAUGAUGAAGGCUUGUUGAGUGUCCAUUGAAAAUGAUAAUGAAGCCAAAAACAUGAAAAUAAAGCAAUUUAACUUUUUGCUUAAAAACUUUUUGCUGAAAUUUUGAAUAAGAAAUGACAAAAACAUUAGUGGGAAAAGUAUUUACACGGUCCAUCAAAUUUAGAUCAAUUUACACGGUCCAUCAAAUACAAGUCAAAUUUAAGUCUUCAACCCAAUUGAUUUUUAAAGGUUAAUUAAAAUUCAUCUGGAUUUUAAGUCUAAAACAUAUUUAAAAUAUUUAGUCCAAAAUAUGAUCAACAUAUUUAAAUAAAUCAUUAAGUAAUUAUAAAUCAUAAAAAUGUAAGUUUUAAAAUAUCAUUUUAAUUCAAUUGUGUUGGUUAAUCAAACUUUUAAACAAAUCAACCAAAUCAGUUUCAAUAAUGCUAAAAUUACCCAACCUUUAUAAUUGUUGAAAAUCAAAUUAACCAAGUCAGUUUUCACAGCUCCUAAACUGAAUUGAGCUUCAUGAUUGUUGAAAAUCAAAUUGCUUUUAUGUUUUUUGUUAGCUUCAAUCGAUUUUUAUUAGUUUUUUAGUUUUCACUUAGACUCUCAUAAAAAUCCUUAAUAUUAACAUAGAAAUAAAUAAACAUAUUAGGAGUGGGCCUCAUUAGUAGGACUUAAAAGGCAAGUUUUAACAUUAUGAUGAAAUUUUAAGUGAAACUCAACCUUAGUAAUUACAUUCUUAGGGUCUGAGAGUCAAAAAAAAUUUGUUACAUAGUAAGCUGAAGAGGGAUUAAUGUAAAUCUAGAGCAAAUACAAAUAACAUUAGCAAUGUUCUUUCCCAUGAAAGUCAAGGGUCUUUAAUGCUUAAUUGAUCGAAUAACAACCUUGAGCAAAUUUAUAUCAAAGUGUUCAUAUAGUUGUUCUCCAUUCUACAAAGUUGCUUAGUAAGAAGUGGAGUCUGGAGUGGAUGUUUGGAUAUGAUGAAGCCUUUUAACAACUAAAGACAUCGUUAUAAUGUUGUUAAUUUAUUCCUUUCCUAUGGUUGAGGAGAAGCUCCCUUUAUACUUGGUGGCAUCUAGCACAACCAUCGUUCUUACUAGGAAAGAUAACUAGUUACAUUUGUCAAUUUAUCAUAUGAGCAAGGUUCUUAGUGAUGUAAAGACAAUGUACUCACCCUUGGAGAAAAUAAACAUUUGCUCAUGUAAGAGAACUACAUCCUUAUUUCCAAACUUAUACAAUGGCAAUCUUAAUGGAAUAUCCAUUCAGAAUAGUACUAUAGAAUCUUGACAUGUUAAGAAAAUGGAUAAGGUGGUUAAUUGAGCUUGGAGAAUUCGAGGUUCUCUAUAAGUAUAAAUGUGCAAUAAAAAGUUAGGUGUUGAUUAACUUUGCAUUGGAGAUAGGUGAAGACUGAAGUGGGUGGACUCUAAAUUGGUGAGUGAUUUUGGAACCUCCCGAAUAAUGGAUCCACUUUGCAUAAAAGAUUAGGCAUGGUGAUUGUUUUAAUGAGUCCCAAUAAGAUAAUUCUAGAAUGAACACUGAAAAUAGAGUUUGAUGAAGUAAGGUAUAAAUCAUUUAUCAUGGAAUGACAAAUGACACUCAAGUUGCAAGUAAAAAACAUUGAGAUUUAGAGUGAAUUUAAGAUUGUCAUUGAGUAGGUGUAAAACUAAUUUGAAGUCAAAGAUUCUAGGAUAUUGAAGUACCAAUGGAAGCCAAAGGAAAUCAUGUAGAAAUUUUUCAAGAUAGAAAUACAACAAUGCCCCAAGAAAAUAACCAAGAUGUCAAUUCACUAGCUUAGUUUGCUUUUGUCAUAACUUGAUGUAUACAUCAUCUUCCACUACCUUACAUUACUUGAUCGAGUUAUAAGCUUGAUAAUGAAACAAUGUUGGUAGAAGCAUAUGUAACAAGUGACUUCAAUGAGAGGAGUAUACUUAUAAUCUAUAUUUUAAAAGACGAUACUCUCCAUCUAAUAAGUUAGAGGCACAUAAACUAAAGAUAAAGUAUAUCUAAUAUGCUUUAAUAUAAGAUGCAUUCUAUCACCAUUACUUUUUAGGCUUAUAUCUCCGAUACUUGAGGGGGAAGCACAUUUUAUAUAGGUUUUCUUGAUGGUCUACAAUAUUGAAGUUAAUUUUGUUGAGGAGCGUGAUAUGUAUAUAUAAGCUCAAAUCCAGUUAGUGUAAACUUUUAGGAAAAUUAGUAAUUCAAUAUGGUAUCAAAACCUGAUUUGAUGGAAGGUCUUUCAAUCCCCUUCUUGUUUGUCUUUGUCUCUAUACUUAUUUUCAACUCCCUAAAGCAUUUUGUUUCUUACUACACCUUGUUUAAACCUUGCCUAAACUUAAUUUAAGGUUAUAUCAUCCUAAGGUACUGCUAAAUGAAAGGAUUUUAUCAACGUCCAUAAAUGAUAAAUCAUGGAUCGAACAGUUGAAUUAGAAAAAUUGGGUAUUAUCAUAUAACUUUAUAUCAACUAAGUUCAUGAAUUGGAAACAUUUACCAUAGGGUAAACCACCACUUCUUAGGCCCCCUGAUUCUACCAUAGAGUCUAACAAUAGACAAUAACUUUCUCUCGAACACAACUUACAACUUUUAUCAUAUUGUGUUUUUCAAAAUCUUAAAAGGUGUUGAGUUCAAAUCUUGUGAGUUCAAACUUUUAGGGAAAUUGGUAGUUGAACAAAUUUAUAUGGACUUGUAAAGCCAUUGAUAUGCACUUGGUAUUUCGAGAAUUGUCGUUUCUGUUGGAGAAAAGAUGACUUGGUCAUCGGGAAGAGUAUGGUUCAGUAAAAGGAGGUAACAUGUUGAAGAAGUUGGAGUUCUAAAUAUAAUAACUCAUCACUCAUCAUUAUCAUUGUUGUUUGGGAUCCUCAUCCUUAUAUAAAAAUUUCUAUUUUAAAAACAAAAAACAAAUUUGUGUUUGAUGUUCUAUUAAAUAAUUUUUUUUUAAAUGAUGGUUUCUCAUCCAUUUUUAGAUGUUUAAACAUUUUGGAUUUGAUAUUUAAUUAAAUAAAAGUGAAUCUACAAUGACACUUAAUUACCAUGUUAUAGAUAAUUCUUCCAAAAAAAAAUUCAUCACUCUUAAUUUAUUUAUAUUAGUUAUUUAAAGAAAAAUAUUAAAAGAAUUAUUUAAUUGUUUGAGGAAAUUCAAGAUUUUUUUCUAUAAAAUUUAUGGAAAUUCUUGGAAUUUUCCAAAGAAAAUUCUUGUUGUUUUUCUAAUUCUUUUUCUAAUUCCUUUAAAAUUUUUAAAUGUUUUUAUAAAAUUUUGAACCUUUUUUACUUAUGUUUUCAUGUCUUAAUUGAAUGAUUUGAUAAAGUGUAUAUUUUUCUUUUAUUUAAUAUUAUUGAAGGCAUAAAAUUAUUUAAUUUAGUGUCUAUUUGGAUGCAGUUCCAAUUUUCUAUUUUUUAAAACAAAAAAUAGUAGUAACUUUUAAUAUAAAAACUUUUGGAGGUUCAUAGUGAAAAUUUAGUAGUUUUUAAAAGCUGAAUAUAAAAUAUUGAGGUAUUAAAAUUUUUUUACUAUCUCAAAUUUUAAAAUUUUUGAAAGUAAUUUUCAAGAAUAAAUAAGGUAAGUCAACUUUUUUGCAAAAUUUUUAUUACUUCUUAUAUAAAAAUUUCUAUUUUAAAAACAAAAAACAAAAAGUAUAUCGAUAGGAGAAUUUAUUUGGCCCAUUAAUCCUAUAGAACACAACGAAAACGUUGUAUUUACAUGGAAGAGAAGGGGGUUGAUUAUGAUAUUUCACAUUGGAUGAAGGAGAAAGUUCUUGGAGUUAUAUAAGUAUAAUUUCCUUUUAACCAUAUAUAUGUGUUUUGAAGCCAUGAUGAUGUCUUUGGACCCAAAGCAAGCAAUAUCUAUACGGUUGGAUAUGAGUUAUUACACUAGCACAUAAAACAAUUAUUAAAAGGUUACUUUUGUAUGCAUAUGUAGCAAGAGACACUAGUUUGUUAAGAGUUGUGUCUCCUAUCAAAGAUGUACACUACUAUCAAUGUCGAAUAAUUAUAACUAGCCCUUGGCCUUUUGCCCGAUAGACAAUCAACAUAAUAUGGCCAUUGCCUCAAGCCCUAGGUCAAAAAUAUUUUUUCUUGGUAGCAACUAAUUAUUUUACAAAGUGGAUUAAGGCAAAGUUUUUUGUGUGAAUAUGAGAAUCAGAAGUGUGUCGAUCCUUUUAUUUGGUUUAUCUAUGAAAAAGUUGAGAAAAGAAAAUUAAAGUAGGAAUAUAUCUUGUCUUAACUUUUCUACCUUUUUUAAGCAAAAUCCAAUAGUCUUCUGUCGGCAUUUAUUCAUCAGCAACUUUCACCACCUUUUCCCAACAUUAUCUCCCUGAAAGAGUCCUACGAAAGCAGAUGAAAUACUCUCCACACCCUGGGAUAUAUCUUCAAGUACAUGAAUUUUGCCAGUGCUGAGGUGGUUCGACAUUGUUGAAAUGAAAUCAUCCAUCCCCUUCAAGUAAUCAAUCACCAAGAACCCUUGGAUCUUGAGUCUCUUGUACACAAUAUCAAUCAUAUCUGGUGCAGCUCGCUCUCCAAUCCCUGUAUAUUCCGAGAUUAUUCCACAAACAGCAAUUCUACCAAAGGGAUUCAUGUUAGCCACCGAUGCUUCCAACAUCUUGCCUCCCACGUUAUCAAAAUAUAUAUCCAUCCCAUCAGGGAAGUAUCUAUAGGAACAAAUUAACCAAUGAAUCACCUUCUAAAUGACCAUUCCUAUGAUGAAGUUUUUGAACACAUGGUUUCAUUUAUAAGGUUUUAACCAUUUUAUUUGAAAAUCAAUGAUAUCAUACACCGUAAGUCUAUCCUAAGAGAUGACAUUUAGUGAUCAGUAGUCUAGUUCAAGAGAGACCUAAUAUGACACUCUAGUUACUUGAACUCAUGACUCUUACUCUAGUACCAAUUUUUGGAUUGGAUUUUGACUAUCUCAUCUGAAAACCAAUUAAUAUUCAAUGAGAGUAAGUGAAUCUUUUAUGAAAUUUGAUAUCUUAUUUGAAAAUCAAUUGGCAUUCAGACAUUUUAUGACAUUUAAUAUUAGACUUUGCUAACCCAUUUUAAGAGAUAAUAUUUGGUGACCUAUCCACAUGGCUAAGAUUUGAAAUAUUGAUAAAUAUAGAUAUAUCAGUAUUUGUAUUUUAU
rnacentral:lncRNA from 1 species